rnacentral:rRNA from 1 species
UACGUAGGGUGCGAGCGUUGUCCGGAAUUAUUGGGCGUAAAGAGCUCGUAGGCGGUCUGUCGCGUCUGCUGUGAAAUCCCGAGGCUCAACCUCGGGCCUGCAGUGGGUACGGGCAGACUAGAGUGCGGUAGGGGAGACUGGAAUUCCUGGUGUAGCGGUGAAAUGCGCAGAUAUCAGGAGGAACACCGGUGGCGAAGGCGGGUCUCUGGGCCGAUACUGACGCUCAUGCACGAAAGCGUGGGGAGCAAACAGG